rnacentral:misc_RNA from 1 species
CUCCUACCGCACAUACCGGAUGCAGUCCGUCUUCCUCCCCUACUUCUCUGCUCCCUCUCUUCCUCAGCAGCGACCGAGCUCCAUCUCUGGCGAGCUCGCCCUGCCCCACGGCGUUCCUCCCCUUUCUUCAAUCUCCCGCCGCACCGUGCCGAACUCCCUGUGCACGCGUGCCCAGGAUUUUUCUUCUCUCCGUGGCGCUAGCUCUCUGCCGGCCGCGAGCCCCUGCCAUGGCCGCCGAGCUCCCUCCAGUCCUCUCUGCUCGCCGAGCUUCUUCCAGCCGCGCCGAUCCGGAGUUCCGCCGUCCGCGCCCCUGCUCUGCUCUCUGUUCGGCCAUGGCCGCCGAGCUCGGCCCUGCCCUCAACGCCAGCGUCCUCUGCUCUUUCUUCAGGCAGCCGCCGGCCGAGCUUCGCUUCUCUCCUCCCAGCCGAGCGGCUUCCCCUCCGUGCUCCCAUGGCGCGUCCUGCUCCCUGCGCGUCCCUGGAUCGCCCAGCCCAGCCGCGCCUGCUUUCCAUGGCCGCGGCAACGUCCUGCUUCUCCACCGGAUAUCGCGCGCCCGGGUUCCCGCUCUCUGUUUGCCGCGCGCAGCCGGCUUCUUCCCCGCGCGGCAGCUCCCUAGCGCGCUCGACCUGCCCCUGUACGACACCCAUCUCCCCUGCUCCUCCGGCGACGCGACUUCCUGCUCAUCGUCCGCGCGCCCUCCAGCUCUAGUGGCCACGCGCGCCUCGCGCGCGCUUGCUUCCCUGCCGACGCGCCCCCGACGCCGCGCUGAGCUCUCUGCGCCGCGGUUCUCCCUCAACCAGCCCCAGCCGAGCUCUCCGGUUUCUCCUCUGCGCGCCCAGCUCGCCCAGUCUGCGCGCCGAGCUCCCUCGUCGCGGCUUCCUGCUUCCUCGUCAGCGCACCUCUCACUCUGGUCUCCUGUGUCGCGUUCGCCCAGAUCGCCGCCAUUGAGUUUCCUGACGUGCCCCCUCAGCUCACUUGCCGCGCUCGCCUUGGCUCCCAGUUCGGCGCGCGAUUUUGGAGCUCUGCGCGAAUGGCGCGCGGUCUGGUGCUCUGCGGCAAGCGCUUCGUGUGGGUGGUGUGGUUUCCAAACUGCGUGAUGCGCUGGCUCGAUGCCCAGACCCCGGCCUCCGUUGUGCUCGUCUGCCUCGGCAGCAAGUACUUCGUGUCGGAGCAGCGGCAGCGACGCCCACCUUUGCGUCGUGCUCACCAGAUCGGGCCUCGCGUCGUCGAUCUGUGCAAUUCCUGUUAGCUCAAUUCCUGUUCGGCUAUCGGUUUCGCCGGUCGUCGAUUUUCUAUUUGUCAUGGUCAUCCCAUCGGUUGUUCCUAUCCGAGCUAGCCCAGCUCGCCAGCCGUCGUGCAUCUUUAGGGCUUGUUCGGUUAGCUCUCAAUCCACGUGGAUUGAGUGAGAUUGGAUGGGUUUGAAUCCCAAACAAGUCAAACUUCUUAAGAAUUUUUUCAAUCUCAUCCAAUCCAUGUGUAUUGGGAAUAACCGAACAAGGCCUUACCCAUUGAGCCGUGUGUUGCCGCGUUCACCUCGUUGUGCCAUCAUCGUCGUCAAAUGGAAAUCGCCGCGCUGGCACGUCGAUAUCGUCGAUCGCCAUCCUCGUCUACGCCAAGUCCCAAGCUGUGAAGACGCUCUUGUACUGACCACGCGUCACCAGCUCAACAAAAGGAAUCCCAUGAAUAUCUGGUCAAGAAUAGAAAUUGUGUGCAUCGCUCGCCAAACGUGUGUGAUCAAAGACGUCAACCGGAAACCGUCGUCGUGCUUCCGACUAUCUCGUCAAAUUAGUCAGGGUACGCUAGCUGAUCGCGCGAUGCGGAAGACGAGCCAAGUCGACCCCAAGUGCGGGCUACUCCGCAUGGUGAUGCUGAUGGACGAACCUGCCUGAUCAAGUGCUAGGACAAGGAUGAUCGUCAAGUGGACAUCGCCUAACAAACACUAACCUAAUGUUAUUCAGACAACGAGCAGUACGUGGUUCCUGAGUGUGUUGUUGAAGACCUCCCUGAGCAACAACCUGGUGAAGGUUGUCCCCACUUUACUCAGUGCUCAGGAGGUGAUGCUGGCAACAUGGAGGAUUUUGAGGAGUUCCAGGACUACGACGAGUUCUAGUUUAUCUUAGUGGCAAACCCCCAGUGAGCUGCCUGUGAAGGCCUUAUCUUCUACGUUUCGUAUUCCACACUUUGAUAUCAAUGUUGAACACUACGACUAUGUAUUAGACUCUGUGGAUGUCUUGGAUAUCUUGAUGUAAUUAAAGUACCUUUCCGCAAUUUACUUUGAGCAUUGUGUUAUGAUGUCCAAUUAUGUAAUCGCUGUGUACGUGAGUUUCUGAUCUCGGCACGUACAUGGUUCACAUUCGGUUUGCCUUCCAAAACCAGGUGUGACAGAAUGGUGAUAUAUGGAUGGGUACAGUCUUGAGCAG